rnacentral:rRNA from 1 species
GAUGAACGUUGGCGGUGUGUCUAAGGCAUGCAAGUCGAGGGAUCGGCCCACUUUAACUUCGGUUAUAUCGGGUACGGACCGGCAAACGGGUGAGUAACACAUUGGUAACCUACCUCUAACACAGGAAUAGCCCGGAGAAAUUCGGAUUAAUGCCUGAUAGUCUAUGUUUUCUUAAGAGAAUAUAGUAAAGCUUUCGCGGUUAGAGAGGGGCCUAUGGCCUAUCAGCUAGUUGGUGCGGUAAAAGCGCACCAAGGCUAUGACGGGUAGCAGGCGUGAGAGCGUGACCUGCCUCACUGGGACUGAGAACGGCCCAGACUCCUACGGGAGGCUGCAGUCAAGAAUAUUCCACAAUGCACGAAAGUGUGAUGGAGCGACACCGCGUGCGGGAUGAAGGCCU